rnacentral:tRNA from 1 species
CAAAAGAUAGCUUAAAUAAAGCUGAAGUGUGAUAGAUUUCCUAUGGGUUUCCCUCUUUUGA